GACGAACGCUGGCGGCGUGCCUAAUACAUGCAAGUAGAACGCUGAAGGAGGAUCUUGCUCUUCUGGAUGAGUUGCGCACGGGUGAGUAUCGCGUAGGUAACCUGCCUGGUAGCGCGGGAUAACUAUUGGAAACGAUAGCUAAUACCGCAUAACACUAGAUGUUGCAUGACAUUUACUUAAAAGGUGCACUUUCAUCACUACCAGAUGGACCUGCGUUGUAUUAGCUAGUUGGUGGGGUAACGGCUCACCAAGGCGACGAUACAUAGCCGACCUGAGAGGGUGAUCGGCCACACUGGGACUGAGACACGGCCCAGACUCCUACGGGAGGCAGCAGUAGGGAAUCUUCGGCAAUGGACGGAAGUCUGACCGAGCAACGCCGCGUGAGUGAAGAAGGUUUUCGGAUCGUAAAGCUCUGUUGUAAGAGAAGAACGAGUGUGAGAGUGGAAAGUUCACACUGUGACGGUAUCUAACCAGAAAGGGACGGCUAACUACGUG
rnacentral:rRNA from 1 species